rnacentral:lncRNA from 1 species
GUCCGGGAAGCCGGCAGCCGGCAGGCGAGGGCGGCGGCUGGGGCGGCAGGACCCCAGCGGCCAUUACGCGGCCGGGGCCUGGUGCUGCUCGCGCGCCCCCGCUGCCAGGCGGCGAAACGCGGGUGAUUCCUGCCAAAAAACGUGUGGUGCCCGGCGUACCACCCCCGACUGCGAGCUGAAAACGUGCCCGACCUCAGGGUAUAUUUUUUUUCAAACUAACUCCGCCUGUCCUUUAUUCCAGUAGAACUGAGGAGCAGGAUGGUGGAGGAGGGUGACAGGCAGAGAGUGACAGCAUCAGGAAGAGAGCACUAUAAAUAAAAAUGGCACUGAAUGGUUAGAUCCAAUUCUAAAAGAUUAUAAAAUUUGGACUAAAAUGAAGGAGUUUCUCCAAUGCAAUUGAAAACACCUUUACAAAUAGUUGCACUAGGUGCAGACUUACAAAAGGGUAACCGCUGACGCUGCUGUGAAGUAGCACUGAGGCGCUCCUGCUAUUUUUGGAGAUGUGCCUUGACUUGUUUUAUGUACCACGGGUCUCAGAAGAUGAAGAUGAAGAUCACUAUUUCAGACAAUGAAGAAAUCUCAUUGCCUUACAGAAGGCUUUUAAGCUAUCUGAAAGAAAACGUCAUUCUCACAUCCAGAGAGAGCGUCAACAAAGUCUACAGGCUGGAGAGAGACGCCAAAAUAUGUGCAGCUGGUGCCAGCGUUUCACAUGGGAAACCUCCAAAGAUGAAGAGGAGCCGGACGGGGGAAUAAGGCCGUUCCCUCAGUACUAUUAUUUCAUACCACGAAGAAUGCCACUUUCCUGGGUACGGAGCUGCCAUCUCUCUCCCGACUGCCGCGCUAACCUCGGGACUCGUGAAACCUGAGCGACGGCGUGAGCGCUGGAGUGCGAGCGCAGCUCGGGCGCUCUCUUGUCCCACGUUUGCUGCCGCCCGCCUGAUGUCUAGACGGGCUCGCGUCCUGCCUGGCUUACCAAUGACGGGAAAAAAAAAAGCCUUUAUUCCUUUCUGUCACUUUGGGGCCUCUGAAGAUUUCAUGACGGGAAGUUGUAUAAAUUGAAAAUAGAUAAAUAUUUCUUAAAAUCUAAAUAAAGAUGAUAUUUGUUGUGGUCA